UUUCCGUAGGUGAACCUGCGGAAGGAUCAUUAUUGUGUAACCGAGGUGCGAGGGCUGUCGCUGACCCGAAAGGUCGUGCACGCCUGAGUGCCCUCACACACAUCCAUCUCACCCCUAUGUGCACCACCGCGUGGGUCCCCCUUUGGCUUGUUCGGAGGGGGGCUUACGUUUUCACAUAAACUUUGUAUGCAGUGUAGAAUGUAUUUUUUGUUUUUGCGAUCACGCAAUCAAUACAACUUUCAACAACGGAUCUCUUGGCUCUCGCAUCGAUGAAAAACGCAGC
rnacentral:misc_RNA from 1 species